rnacentral:rRNA from 1 species
UGUAUCUGANGAGCUUGCUCUGAUUUGAUUUUAUCUGAUCAAGAGUGGCGAACGGGUGAGUAACACGUGGGUAACCUACCUCUUAGCAGGGGAUAACAUUUGGAAACAAGUGCUAAUACCGUAUAAUACCAACAACCGCAUGGUUGUUGGUUGAAAGAUGGUUCUGCUAUCACUAAGAGAUGGACCCGCGGUGCAUUAGCUAGUUGGUAAGGUAACGGCUUACCAAGGCAAUGAUGCAUAGCCGAGUUGAGAGACUGAUCGGCCACAAUGGGACUGAGACACGGCCCAUACUCCUACGGGAGGCAGCAGUAGGGAAUCUUCCACAAUGGGCGCAAGCCUGAUGGAGCAACGCCGCGUGUGUGAUGAAGGGUUUCGGCUCGUAAAACACUGUUAUAAGAGAAGAACGGCACUGAGAGUAACUGUUCAGUGUGUGACGGUAUCUUACCAGAAAGGAACGGCUAACUACUG